rnacentral:rRNA from 1 species
UACGUAGGAGGCAAGCGUUGUCCGGAAUCACUGGGCGUAAAGCGCGUGUAGGUGGAAGAGGAAGUCUGCUGUGAAAGCGCCUGGCUUAACCGGGCGAGGUCGGUGGAAACUCCUCAUCUGGAGGUCGGUAGGAGGGGGGUGGAAUUCCGGGGUGUAGUGGUGAAAUGCGUAGAGAUCCGGAGGAACACCUGUGGCGAAGGCGGCCCCCUGGGGCCCGCACCUGACGCUGAGACGCGAAAGCGCGGGGGAGCGAACGGG